AUUCCUCACAGUAAUAAAAUCUCAAACUUGGCAUAUCAUUCAUUGAAUUUCAAACCUUGCAACCACACUGUCAAAUAACUCUAAAUUAUCUUUACACCACUGUAAGGGCAUGGAAAAACUGGAAAUAACAUGUAUGACUUUAUAUUCAUUACAGAACUACUACAGAAAUAGAAGAAACAAAGAAGCAAAGUUCAAAAUCGUUUCAUUUUCAGGCAAGUUUCCAUUCGAAAAUGAAUCUUUACAAUAACUUGUCCUCCAUAGUUUACAGAUAUACCUGGAAAUUUAAAGGAAACAAAAGAGGAGAGGAAACAAUAGUCAACAGCAGCAGAACAAUAAUGUAGCAAUGUGGGAAUCAGCAAACCAGCCCUAAUGAAUCAAGCUAAAACAAAAAACUAGCAGCACCCCAAAGGACUCAAACCAAACUUUUGAUCUCAAAAUUAAACUAUUUUUCACCCCAGAGAAACCAGAAAUCAUUUCAGGAAUAAGAAAUUGAAGAAAUCUCACAAAUAGGACAGUAAUUUUCAAUCUCUCAGCUAUUUUGAAUUGUCAAUCUUUUUCAAAUUAUUAGAUUUCAUAAUGUGUAAAGCUUUCUCUCACUUUUUUGAGGUCUCUCAUCGUCUGA
rnacentral:lncRNA from 1 species